GUAGGUGAACCUGCGGAGGGAUCAUUAACGAGCAAGGGCGGAAACGCCCGACCUCCAACCCUUUGUAUGCGAAACCCAGUUGCCUCGGGGCCCCGUCCGCGGGGCCCCGGCAGGCCCACCAAAAAUACUGCAUCUUUGCGUCAGAGUACAUUCUUUGAAUUUAAUCAAAACUUUCAACAACGGAUCUCUUGGUUCUG
rnacentral:misc_RNA from 1 species